rnacentral:rRNA from 1 species
UACAGAGGGUGCAAGCGUUACUCGGAAUUACUGGGCGUAAAGGGCGCGUAGGCGGUUCUAUAAGUUGGUUGUGAAAUCCCUGGGCUUAACCUAGGAAUGGCAACUGAAACUGUAGAGCUGGAGUGCUGUAGAGGGUAGUGGAAUUUCCGGUGUAGCGGUGAAAUGCGUAGAUAUCGGAAGGAACACCAGUGGCGAAGGCGGCUACCUGGACAGACACUGACGCUGAGGCGCGAGAGCGUGGGGAGCAAACAGG